rfam:Musa acuminata subsp. malaccensis Doubled-haploid Pahang (DH-Pahang) genomic chromosome, chr6
AGGUCACACUGUGCAGCCAAGGAUGACUUGCCGGCAGGCUUCGGUGCAUGUACGUAUGAGAAAGCCGGCAAGUCGUUUUUGGCUACAUGUUUACCUCU